rnacentral:lncRNA from 1 species
GAGGAGAGAAUUCAAGCAUUAAAUGGACACAGCAACUCAGCUGGCUGCCACCCAAUGUGACCUUCCUUCUUGUCCUCUGCCCAUGUCCAGCUUCACCGUGGAGCAGCAUUGUCGACAAGAAAAGCACUAUGGCUGAACCACAGAAAUCUGUCAAUCUGCAGAAUACUCCAUUCCUGUGUGUGUGACCUAUUAAACCGUGGCACUGAAUCAUUCAUGUGGCACUGCAAAUAAGGUAAGAAUAUGCAGAAGCCACUUCUAUUGUAUAAAAUUUAUUAAACAGUGGCAGCAUGCAGACACA